GCAGUCGAACGAACUUCCGUUAAUUGAUUAUGACGUGCUUGCACUGAAUGAGAUUUUAACACGAAGUGAGUGGCGGACGGGUGAGUAACACGUGGGUAACCUGCCCAGAAGCAGGGGAUAACACCUGGAAACAGAUGCUAAUACCGUAUAACAGAGAAAACCGCCUGGUUUUCUUUUAAAAGAUGGCUCUGCUAUCACUUCUGGAUGGACCCGCGGCGCAUUAGCUAGUUGGUGAGGUAACGGCUCACCAAGGCGAUGAUGCGUAGCCGACCUGAGAGGGUAAUCGGCCACAUUGGGACUGAGACACGGCCCAGACUCCUACGGGAGGCAGCAGUAGGGAAUCUUCCACAAUGGACGCAAGUCUGAUGGAGCAACGCCGCGUGAGUGAAGAAGGGUUUCGGCUCGUAAAGCUCUGUUGUUAAAGAAGAACGUGGGUGAGAGUAACUGUUCACCCAGUGACGGUAUUUAACCAGAAAGCCACGGCUAACUACGUGCCAGCAGCCGCGGUAAUACGUAGGUGGCAAGCGUUAUCCGGAUUUAUUGGGCGUAAAGCGAGCGCAGGCGGUCUUUUAAGUCUAAUGUGAAAGCCUUCGGCUCAACCGAAGAAGUGCAUUGGAAACUGGGAGACUUGAGUGCAGAAGAGGACAGUGGAACUCCAUGUGUAGCGGUGAAAUGCGUAGAUAUAUGGAAGAACACCAGUGGCGAAGGCGGCUGUCUGGUCUGUAACUGACGCUGAGGCUCGAAAGCAUGGGUAGCGAACAGGAUUAGAUACCCUGGUAGUCCAUGCCGUAAACGAUGAUUACUAAGUGUUGGAGGGUUUCCGCCCUUCAGUGCUGCAGCUAACGCAUUAAGUAAUCCGCCUGGGGAGUACGACCGCAAGGUUGAAACUCAAAAGAAUUGACGGGGGCCCGCACAAGCGGUGGAGCAUGUGGUUUAAUUCGAAGCUACGCGAAGAACCUUACCAGGUCUUGACAUCUUCUGCCAACCUAAGAGAUUAGGCGUUCCCUUCGGGGACAGAAUGACAGGUGGUGCAUGGUUGUCGUCAGCUCGUGUCGUGAGAUGUUGGGUUAAGUCCCGCAACGAGCGCAACCCUUAUUACUAGUUGCCAGCAUUCAGUUGGGCACUCUAGUGAGACUGCCGGUGACAAACCGGAGGAAGGUGGGGACGACGUCAAAUCAUCAUGCCCCUUAUGACCUGGGCUACACACGUGCUACAAUGGAUGGUACAACGAGUCGCGAAACCGCGAGGUUUAGCUAAUCUCUUAAAACCAUUCUCAGUUCGGACUGUAGGCUGCAACUCGCCUACACGAAGUCGGAAUCGCUAGUAAUCGCGGAUCAGCAUGCCGCGGUGAAUACGUUCCCGGGCCUUGUACACACCGCCCGUCACACCAUGAGAGUUUGUAACACCCAAAGCCGGUGGGGUAAC
rnacentral:rRNA from 1 species